AUACUUACCUGGACGGGGUCAAUGGGCGAACAAGAAGAUCCAUGGCCAAGGGUAGUGACCUCCAUUGCACUUGGGAGGGGUGCUCGCCUAAGGUCUAUCCAAGUGGUAGAACCUACGUCAUAAUUUGUGGAAGCAGAGCCUGCGUCCGCGCGGCCCCUCC